rnacentral:rRNA from 1 species
AGUGAACGCUGGCGGCAGGCCUAACACAUGCAAGUCGAACGGCAGCACAAGAGUGCUUGCUCUCUGGGUGGCGAGUGGCGGGCGGGUGAGGCAUGCAUCGGAAUCUGCCCAUUUGUGGGGGAUAACCUCGGGAAACCGGGACUAAUACCGCAUACGACCUACGGGUGAAAGCAGGGGAGCUUCGGACCUUGCGCAGAUGGAUGAGCCGAUGCCGGAGUAGCUAGGUGGAGGGGUAAAGGGCCACCAAGGCGACGAUCCGUAGCUGGUCUGAGGGGAGGGUCAGCCACACUGGGAGUGAGACAGGGCCCAGACACCUGCGGUAGGCAGCAGUGGGGAAUAUUGGGCAAUGGGGGCAAGCCUGAUCCAGCGAGGCCGCGUGUGUGAAGACGGCGUUCGGGUUGUAAAGCACUUUUGUUGGGAGAGAAAAGCAGCCGGUUAAUACCCGGUGGUCAUGACGGUACCCAAAGAAGAAGCACCGGCUAACUUCGUG